rnacentral:rRNA from 10 species
CGCGACCCCAGGUCAGGCGGGACUACCCGCUGAG